rnacentral:lncRNA from 1 species
GUAAAGGCAGCAGCCCGGCCUUGAAGCCGGAUCUCGCGAUGUUUCAGGGCGGCUUUGGUGUCAUCAAAUGUGAGAAGCCCUGGACUUUACACAUCCCGAGCCAGUGUGAUCCAGUAUGAUUGGGAGUCCGAGUGCCAGAUGCCGGUCAGGACCUGUUAUGCUGGGUCUCAGAAUGCGGAAACUCUCCCUGUCCGAGGUGGAACAGUUUGUCCUUGAGUGAGGACUGGAGUCCUGAGUGACUCUUUUGAUUUGAUCCUGUUUCCCUCAAACCUGAGAUGGGAGCCUCACUGUAUUGCCCAGGCUGGUCUUGAACUCCGGAGCUCAAGUGAUCGUCUUGCUUCAGCCUUGCAAAAUGAUGGUGAAGCUGCAUCAUUGUCUGGGGUAAAUACCUGAGGUUCGUUGUCUCACGCCAAGGGAAUCAAGGACGUGGACACACAAGAAAUGGAGUCCCUGUCUGACCGGGCCAUGUUGUAUGUUCCUUGCUGUACACGUGGUUGACAAAGAAAAGGGAAGAUGGAGCUGCGAUGUUGGACAUGCCUGGCCCCCAGGACAUACAGCCCUGCCGAGCAAAUAAUGAACGUAACUCACAAACUUCCUGCUUAUCAUCAAACGCACGCAUCCACUUAUCAUCAAACACCUCGGGUGACAGAAGAAUGCAGGUCAGCUCCCUGCUGCCUUGGCAUUAUCAAUCAGCCCAGGAACCAUCCUAUAAAAUCUCCAGCAAGCCUUUGUUUCCUUGCAGUCAGCUCCUCUUCCACUGAUUCUGCCUGUUGCUCCCUGAUAACAUACUUUGAUACUGUCUUUAAUAAAUCUGCCUUUCUUCACCCACAGCUGUCUUGGUAAGUUCUUUUACCUCUGUGCCACCAGCCCAAACAGUUGCUGCUCACCUGAAACAAAGAAUAAAUGUGGUUUUUAAGCAAAUCAAAGUUUACUUAGUGACUCUUACCAAGCUUUGUAGAAGGUUGUGCCAAAAGGAGAAGCUUAAGAGAUAACGGCUAAAAAUAAAAAAUGUUACCACCGCCCAAGGGGUUCUUCCUGCCCACUGCAUAAAGAAAGACCAUGGCAUUGUAGUAGAGAAAGAGGUUAAUAGACAUGAGGCUGGCCACGCCACAUGGGAAAUGGAGUUCGUACUCAAAUCAUCUAAUCCAAAGCUCUUAUCUUAGAGGUUUUUCAAAGUCACUUUGGGGGAAGGGGUGGGAGUGGCCAGAUAACAGGUGCUUGCUGCUGAUUCGUUGGGCUGGAGAUGAAAUCAUAGGGGGUCAAAGCUCUCCUUGUGUGGGGUGAAUUGCUUCUGGGUGGUGCCACAGGAACUGGGUUGGUUAGUCCAAGUGGAACCAUCAGGUCCAGGUGGAGCCAUGGGUGUCAGACAUGAAAAAACCUGAAAAGAUAUCUCAAAAGGCCAAUCUGAGGUUCUACAGUAGUGAUGUCAUUUGUAGUAGUAAUUGGGAAAGUUGCAUAUCCUAUAACCUUUGGAAUAAUGGCUGACAGUUGAAUAAUGCUGCCACCUUAGCAGGACCCAGACUCCUCUCCUCCCAGACUGAUGGCCUCCCAUUAGCUUUACAAAAACAAUUGAGUUUUGGGCAAAGCCUGUUAUUUAAACUAUAGCGUAAAUGUCUUCCAAAGUUAGCUCAGCCCUAUAGCCCAGGAAUAAUUAAGGGAAAGGCAAGAUAGGUGGGUUAGCUCAGUUUACUAUAAUAAUUUUUCUCACUGAUACAGUUUUUGCAAAGGUGGUUUCAUAAAGAUGCCUACUCUCUUCACACAUUUGUGAAAUGUCGAAAAGACUGCAAAAACCUGGACGUUUACUGAUGCCUUAUUUUAAACAAGGCUUGUCUGGUUUGAAAAAGUGAGGGGAAGCUAUCAAUCAUAAUUUUGUUAAAUACAGUGAGUUCUAAGUUUCUCCUCAAAGAAUCUGUGUCAGUAUGUUCAGUUCUUUGUUUUCCAUUUUAAAGUUUAACUUCCUCAUUCUCUUCAUCUCCUUGCCCCUAGUUUCAGUAAACAACCUCCCUGCCAGUUCUGAUCAGUAGUUCACAUCUGUUCUCCUGGUCACUUGCUCCAUCCUGAGACCCCUGGUCACCCGCUCUAACCUAAGUCACCUUUAGUCACCUAUUCCGUAACCGUCUUUCCUGCCACAACUGCUCACCCCACCACUGUAGCUCUUAACCCCUGCUGUCUUUAAAAUAGCCAAUCGGAAUUAGCUUAGACUGUGCAGUCCAACCCUAGCCAAUAGGGGAACGAUGCAACAGUAGGGGCUACCUGUGUCAGGGAUAAGAACCCCUUCCCCUCCCUUGUUCAGGUGUGCUCUCACCAUUGUUCCAUCCACAAGAUGCACCCUUCUGUAGAAGUAAAAUUGCCUUGCUGAGAAAAUUUCUGUUCGAAUGCUAUUUCUUUUGUGGCACCGAAAAUUUAUUUCUAACAAUUUCAACACUCAAACACAACCCAACUACAAUUUUUGUGGAUUAUGUUCCUUUUACUUUUUAGGAACAGUUUUCCAAUGUUGCAGUCAUAAUGCAAUUUUAUCAGCUUUGUUCCUCCUUUAAGAAACCUUAAUACAAGAAGUAUUUUUACAUGUUGCUUCAUUGCCAUGCAAUUAUUCGUUUAAAAAGUUGUAUAGUUUUCAAUCAGAUAGAUGUGAAAGGAAAAUAAAUCCCAGGACUCCGGUUGGGCACAGUGGCUCAUGCCUGUGAUUCCAGCACUUUGGGAGGCCGAGGCGGGUGGAUCACGAGGUCAGGAGAUCGAGACCAGCCUGGCCAACAUGGUAAACCCCGUCUCUACUAAAGAUUAAAAAAAAAAAAUUAAGUGGGUGUGGUGGUGUGCACCUGUAAUACCAGCUACUCUACUCGGGAGGCUGAGGCAGGAGAAUAGCUUGAACCCGGGAGGCGGAGGCUGCAGUGAGCAGAGAUCACACCAUUGCACUCCAGCCUGGGCAACAGGGCGAGACUCUGUCUCAAAAAAAAAAAAAAAAUCUAAGGACUCCAAAAUCACUAAGCCAAGGGAAAGUCAAGCUGGGAACUAUGUCAGGCAAGGCUGCCUCUCAUUUGAUUCCUAAAUACAAUAGCUAUAAAGAUUAAAAGCUACAUACCUCCCUCACAAUUUGCCCACAAGGAAAUUCCUUUUGGACAAAGGACAGAAAGAAUUCAAAGUCAUCCCUCUGAGGCUCACCUGAGAGAAAUGCAUAUCUGAUUGCUUCCUUGGACCUAGUGUUUAUGUAAAAAUGCAAAUUCACAGAGCCAGACUAAAUUGUGUAUUCAGUGGAAAGCUAAUCAAUAACUCAAAAGAAUGCAACCUUUUGUCCCACAUCUAUUUAUGACCUGGAAGCCUCCACCUCAGAUUUUUCCACCUUACCUGACUGAACCACUGUACAUCUUACACAUAGUGAUUGAUGUCUCAUAUCUCCCUAAGAUGUAUAAAAGCAAGCUGUACCCCAACCACCUUGGGCACAUGUCAUCAGAACGUCCUGAGACUGUCAGUGCUUCCCUAACCAUGGGAAAAUAAACUUUCCAAAUCGAUUGAGACCUGUCUCCAAUACCUUUUGGUUUACAACAUACUGUUAUUUAUUUGACCAUUCUUCUACUUGUAGCUGUGGAGUCCUGAUAAGUAAGCAACAAUGAGGAAGGGGCCCCAGUGGGGAAGUACAAUGAACAGUUGUCCUGAGAAAUGGCUAAUCAAACAACAGCUCUCUCCAGGAUGACCCUAUAAAACUUCCUUCCAGCUCCUGCCUCUUUGCAGACAGCUCCUUCUCUCCUGUGCUGCCAGUUGCAACCUUGCAAUGUAUUUUCAUACGUUCUCUAAUAAAUCUGCCUUUCUUUAGGACUGUCCUGGUAAAUAUGAGACUGUUUUCUUUACCGCCUUUGAUACAAGCCCUAUCUAGUUGCUACCCAUGACAGUAGGUAUAUUGUUUAUGUUCAACAUUUUAUUAUAAACAAUGUUUCAGCUGGGCUCGGUGGCUCAUGCCUGUAAUCCCAGCACUUUGGGAGGCUGAGGCAGACAGAUCAGGAGGUCAGGAGAUUGAGACCAUCCUGGCUAACAGGUGAAACCCCGUCUCUACUAAAAAUACAAAAAAAUUAGCCAGGCGUGGUGGCACGUGCCUGUAGUCCCAGCUACUCGGGAGGCUGAGGCAGGAGAAUGGCAUGAACCUGGGAGGUGGAGCUUGCAGUGAGCUGAGAUUGCGCCACUGCA